rnacentral:lncRNA from 1 species
GAGGAGGAGAGAGCCGCCAGAGUGAGGGAACGAAGGGAGUGAAGGCGUCUGUCGUGUAAGAGAGAGUAGAGAGAGAGAGAUAUUAAACAGUGACAGAGACCAAGAGGAUAGAAUUAAGUGUGGGUAUUUUUUUAAUUUUAAUUCUUGGGGUAAUUUAGUCAUUCAACACAAAAAGUGGGUAUUUUUUAAAGUUUUUAUUUGAGUGGGUAAAAUUUAUUUUUGCUAUAUGAAAGUGGGUAUUCUUAUAUAUUGACUCUUAUUUAUAAGCUAUACAUUUUUUUUUCUUUUUCUUUGACUUCUUAUUUUUCUAUUUUAUUUCUUUUUUAAAAAUGUGAAAUUCGACUAAUUAUAAAAUAUUUGAUAUGCAUAUCAAAUUAAAGAUCAUGACAAGAGCUUUAAUUUGAUAUAUGUUAUUUAAAUAUUGAAUUUAAAACAUAAAAAUUAUAGUUAUUUAAAGAAUAAAACUUAAGAAAAUUCUCUCUCAUCUCUCCUCUUUUUUUUGAAUAAAUCUAUUUUUUUU